AUUGAACGCUGGCGGCAUGCCUUACACAUGCAAGUCGAACGGUAACGCGGGGCAACCUGGCGACGAGUGGCGAACGGGUGAGUAAAGCAUCGGAACGUGCCCAGUAGUGGGGGAUAGCCCGGCGAAAGCCGGAUUAAUACCGCAUACGACCUAAGGGUGAAAGGGGGGGAUCGCAAGACCUCUCGCUAUUGGAGCGGCCGAUGUCAGAUUAGCUAGUUGGUGGGGUAAAAGCUCACCAAGGCGACGAUCUGUAGCUGGUCUGAGAGGACGACCAGCCAGACUGGGACGGAGAAACGGCCCAGACUCCUACGGGAGGCAGAAGUGGGGAAUUUUGGACAAUGGACGAAAGUCUGAUCCAGCCAGGCCGCGUGCGGGAAGAAGGCCUUCGGGUUGUAAACCGCUUUUGUCAGGGAAGAAAGCCUUUGAGCUAAUACCUCGGGGGGAUGACGGUACCUGAAGAAUAAGCACCGGCUAACUACGUGCCAGCAGCCGCCGUAA
rnacentral:rRNA from 1 species